rnacentral:lncRNA from 1 species
UCACUUUCACUCUCAAGUCUUGGAACUCAAACUUUACACAGCUCUUUUUCUUUUACAACUUCUAGCCUCUUCUUUCUUUCUUAUCAAAACAUUUGAGCUUUUGGCUUCUUUUCUUUCUUUUUCACUUAGAGGCUAGAUUUUUCUUUUCAACAAACCAGAGCUCACUUUCUCAAAACACCAAGACUGACUUCUUUUUCUUUCAUUCCCCUAGUUAUUUUCACUCUCUCUUUCCACUCAUCUCACCUUUUUCCACUCACCAAAAAGUCUUUUCCCCCACACUUAUUCCUCGCCAAAACUCUCAGUUCCUUGAUGUUGGAACACAUCACUCAAUGAGACCUGCCCUUGUCGCUCUAAACCUAACACUUUCUGCUAAGUUUGAUCCAAGGUGGCCUUUCAAUUCUCACACAAACAUUGGCUUAAAAGAAGGAUGGGUUCAAGGUAUGGGAACUGAUCCAUGAUGUGGAUUCAGUUACUUGAGCUAAGGAAAAGAGUGGUAAAAACAGUGGUUCUAGCUCAAGUAUGUAUAUUGGUAUCCACAAGCUUUUUCAAACAAUGCAUCACAAGAUAUUUUCAAGUCAAGUUCAAGGUUCCCAUUUAAUUAGAGUUGAGUUUAAUUCAAACUUGCUUCUCAGAUUCAAAUCAUUUCAGACUUUGCAAGCAUAGAAAAAGAUUCACAAGCAUAUUCAAUUCAAGUUCUCAAAGUGAUGUACUCUCUAGAAAACCUAUCAUUACUCCUUGCAAGAUGCAACCUAUAUGCAAAUGCAAUCUAGACUCAAUCCUAAAAAUGAGAAUGCAACUACAUGAUCAUUUUUUUGUGAAAAUUUUUCAGAUUUUUCCAUUUUUUUUGGUUUUUAUAUGCACUUAGAUGACUAUGCAACUAGAAUGUGACUCAAGACUCAAAGUGUAAAAUGAGAAAAUAGAAAACAUGGUUAGUAAAGGAUGAAACUCCUCCCCCACACUUAAAUAACACAGUCCCUUGUGUUAUAAAAGUAUGAGAAAGAAGUGAAACCAAAGCAAACAAGCAAAAUGCAAAAGGAAAAGAAAGUCUACAUGCUAUUUACAAGGUUUUGAGUGUUACCUAGUGGCUGUUGAAAUCAGACCCCAAUGAGUAGGAGGGGUUCGAUGUGUGGCCUGAC